GACGAACGCUGGCGGCGUGCUUAACACAUGCAAGUCGAACGGAAAGGCCCUGCUUUUGUGGGGUGCUCGAGUGGCGAAAGGGUGAGUAACACGUGAGUAACCUGCCCUUGACUUUGGGAUAACUUCAGGAAACUGGGGCUAAUACCGGAUAGGAGCUCCUGCUGCAUGGUGGGGGUUGGAAAGUUUCGGCGGUUGGGGAUGGACUCGCGGCUUAUCAGCUUGUUGGUGGGGUAGUGGCUUACCAAGGCUUUGACGGGUAGCCGGCCUGAGAGGGUGACCCGCCACAUUGGGACUGAGAUACGGCCCAGACUCCUACGGGAGGCAGCAGUGGGGAAUAUUGCACAAUGGGCGGAAGCCUGAUGCAGCAACGCCGCGUGCGGGAUGACGGCCUUCGGGUUGUAAACCGCUUUCGCCUGUGACGAAGCGUGAGUGACGGUAAUGGGUAAAGAAGCACCGGCUAACUACGUG
rnacentral:rRNA from 1 species